GGCGGUGGGGGCUGCUAAUACAUGCAGUCGAGCGGACAGAUGGGAGCUUGCUCCCUGAUGUUAGCGGCGGACGGGUGAGUAACACGUGGGUAACCUGCCUGUAAGACUGGGAUAACUCCGGGAAACCGGGGCUAAUACCGGAUGGUUGUUUGAACCGCAUGGUUCAAACAUAAAAGGUGGCUUCGGCUACCACUUACAGAUGGACCCGCGGCGCAUUAGCUAGUUGGUGAGGUAACGGCUCACCAAGGCAACGAUGCGUAGCCGACCUGAGAGGGUGAUCGGCCACACUGGGACUGAGACACGGCCCAGACUCCUACGGGAGGCAGCAGUAGGGAAUCUUCCGCAAUGGACGAAAGUCUGACGGAGCAACGCCGCGUGAGUGAUGAAGGUUUUCGGAUCGUAAAGCUCUGUUGUUAGGGAAGAACAAGUACCGUUCGAAUAGGGCGGUACCUUGACGGUACCUAACCAGAAAGCCACGGCUAACUACGUGCCAGCAGCCGCGGUAAUACGUAGGUGGCAAGCGUUGUCCGGAAUUAUUGGGCGUAAAGGGCUCGCAGGCGGUUUCUUAAGUCUGAUGUGAAAGCCCCCGGCUCAACCGGGGAGGGUCAUUGGAAACUGGGGAACUUGAGUGCAGAAGAGGAGAGUGGAAUUCCACGUGUAGCGGUGAAAUGCGUAAAGAUGUGGAGGAACACCAGUGGCGAAGGCGACUCUCUGGUCUGUAACUGACGCUGAGGAGCGAAAGCGUGGGGAGCGAACAGGAUUAGAUACCCUGGUAGUCCACGCCGUAAACGAUGAGUGCUAAGUGUUAGGGGGUUUCCGCCCCUUAGUGCUGCAGCUAACGCAUUAAGCACUCCGCCUGGGGAGUACGGUCGCAAGACUGAAACUCAAAGGAAUUGACGGGGGCCCGCACAAGCGGUGGAGCAUGUGGUUUAAUUCAAAGCAACGCGAAGAACCUUACCAGGUCUUGACAUCCUCUGACAUUCCUAGAGAUAAGACGUCUC
rnacentral:rRNA from 1 species